rnacentral:rRNA from 1 species
CACGGGGGGAGCAAGCGUUGUUCGGAUUCAUUGGGCGUAAAGAGCUCGUAGGCGGCUCUGUAAGUCGGGGGUGAAAGACCACGGCUCAACCGUGGAAACGCCUUCGAUACUGUGGAGCUUGAGGCCGGGAGAGGAAAGCGGAAUUCCUGGUGUAGCGGUGAAAUGCGUAGAUAUCAGGAGGAACACCAGUGGCGAAGGCGGCUUUCUGGACCGGUUCUGACGCUGAGGAGCGAAAGCCAGGGGAGCAAACAGGAUUAGAUACCCCCGUAGUCC